ACAUCUGAGGGUGGUUUGGCAGCAACAUGUGUCACCACAUUGAUUGCCAGGGUUGAUUUAGCUGAUUUGGCUGGCUAGUCAGGUGUCCCCUUCCUCCCUCAACCACUCCAAGUGCUUCCCUCCUGAAGCUGCAUGCUCUAUCAAAGAGGACAAAAUUCCCCAGUAGAGGAGGACCAGUAUUAGGUCAAGGGUAUGCAAGUAGCUGUACUCCCCUGCUAAAAAAUGUGAACAAGUUCGGAGGGUUAUCCUAGCAAGUUUUAAAAAUACAACAUAUCAUUGUUCACAUUAUCAUAUCUU
rnacentral:snRNA from 1 species